GGGAAUAACUCAGUGGUAGAGUGCGACCUUGCCAAGGUCGAAGUUGCGGGUUCAAAUCCCGUUUCCC
rnacentral:tRNA from 1 species